rnacentral:lncRNA from 1 species
UAUUUCAUCAACUCCGUCUGAACUCAUCGCAGCCUUUUGGAAAACAUUAUAAUGGGAGAAAACAGAAGGAAGGCUUCAGAUUGGGGCAAUGACAUCAUUGAAAGGAAUAAAAAUAUUGGUAAGGUUAUCACACUCACAAGAUUAAUAUAUUCCAUUAGGUUUUGCUGUGGGUGGAUGGCUGUAAUGAGUUCGAAGAUGAUAAUUCCAAAACUGUAGAUGUCACUCUUCAUGGUGAACUCGUUUGUGGAUAUGUACACAGGGUCUAUGUAUCCAUAUGUACCUUUCAGACCAGAGUUGCGGCCAUCAUACGAUUCUUCCUUCGAAAGUCCAAAAUCAGCAACCUGACACAAGGGUACCAGAAAAAAAUGUCUUUCAAGAAGAGGGACAAAAAGAUUCAAAAAAUCAAGUAUAUCCUUGUCAAAUUUUAUGUUUCCAGGCACCUAAAUUCUCGAGUUGGACGCCUUAAACAAGAAGCUAGCUUUGCACAUUUUUCGGACUGC